rnacentral:rRNA from 1 species
UACGUAGGUGGCAAGCGUUAUCCGGAAUUAUUGGGCGUAAAGCGCGCGUAGGCGGUUUCUUAAGUCUGAUGUGAAAGCCCACGGCUUAACCGUGGAGGGUCAUUGGAAACUGAGGGACUUGAGUACAGAAGAGGAGAGUGGAAUUCCACGUGUAGCGGUGAAAUGCGUAGAGAUGUGGAGGAACACCAGUGGCGAAGGCGACUCUCUGGUCUGCAACUGACGCUGAGGCUCGAAAGCAUGGGUAGCGAACAGG